AAUUGCUAGUUACCAGUGCCCUGGCUUAUCGUGUGUUAGACUCUGAGUUAAACAUCAACUCCUUGAAUCAUUACAAGCUCCUUAUCAGCGAGGCUGCCUCCAAAGCAUCCGGAGUUUGCAACCAUCACUGUCCACCCCGCGAGCUGCGAUAGUGCGAGAACUACAAUUCCCGUGGGGCUGUGCGGGAGCAUCGCGAGAGUUACAUUAACUGUGGCGGCGGGAAGGCGGAGCCUGCAGCUGGCUGGGCGGUUAGGAGGGCCCGGGGCCGAGACGAUGGCUGACCACAACCCUGACAGCGACUCCACGCCGCGCACGCUGCUGCGACGCGUGCUGGAUACAGCGGACCCGCGCACCCCGCGGCGACCCCGGAGUGCUCGGGCUGGAGCCCGGAGAGCCCUGCUUGAAACGGCUUCCCCCAGGAAGUUGAGUGGCCAAACAAGGACGAUAGCCAGAGGGCGUUCCCAUGGAGCCAGGGUAAGUACCCAGCCCACUGACCCCAAAGGGCCCUGGCUGCCUCGGGGAGGGGGGUUGAGGUCU
rnacentral:lncRNA from 1 species